UUUUUUUUUUUUUUUGGUCUUUUUGUCAUUUCUUGGGCCGCUCCUGCAGCAUAUGGAGGUUCCCAGGGUAGGGAUCCAAUUGUAGCUACAGCUGCCGGCCUACACCACAGCCACAGCAAUGCCAGAUCUGAGCCACGUCUGUGACCUACACUACAGCUCAUGGCAAUGUCAGAUCCUUACCCCACUGAGCCAGGCCAGGGAUCGAACCUGCAACCUCAUGGUUCCUAGUUGGAUUCAUUUCCUCCUACUCACUGUUUUUAAAUAUAUCUUGUUGCAUUGUGUUACACGCUCUCUCUUAAUUGUUACACUGAAAUCUUACUUUUCAAGGUUCUCUCCAAUCACACCUUAUUUCAGUAUGCCCAAACGUGGAUCAGCAGUACAAAGUGAAGCCGAUCACUAUGCUCUAUAGAGGCUAUAAUAAUUUUCACUUCUGUGUCCUUGUUUUUUCUUGUUUGAUGUGCCUCUUUCAUUGUUCUCAAGUUCAAAUUCUAUCCCGUUCAUCAAAGGUCACCUUAAAUCCUGCCAUAAAGCCUACCUAAAUGCCCUCAGCACUACUGCUCAUUCUUUUCUCUGAAUGUAGGUGAUACAAUAAAGUUAGACGUAAUUACAUGUUUUUAAUUAUUUCGUUAAUGCUAGCCAGUAUGGUCCUGGAAGUAGAGACCAUUAUUCACACAGUUCUUGCCUUCUACAGUCUUAGGCACCACAGUGUCAUACAACUGAAAGCACAGUAUGGAGAUGCAGGUGACUGACCCAAUCUGUGACUGAGGAGUCUCAUACAAGCUCUUGUGGAAACAAGCUCUCUGAUACCCAUCCUAUUUUUCUCACAGGUAAACAGAGCUAUGUAAACACAAGGCCACUGAAACACCUUCAAGAACAUUGGCAUAUGAUUCAUAGGCCAGUAGAUGUCAGUCAGUCAGAUGAAAACAUGCACCUCAGUGCGUCCCAUCAUCCACUUCAAUGACAUUUCAUUGUUACAAACCUUAGGAUAUGUCAAUCUAUAAAACAAAGAUAAGUUUCAACUUUCAAUAAGGAAAUACUGACUUGUUACAGCACACAGGUUACCAAUAAUGGAUCCCAGAGAGCAGUAAUAAAAUAUAAGCCUAUAUACAGUUUCACUUAUCAAUUUAAGUGAAGGAAUUAAUUUGUCAUACAGCUACUGCACUGGUAAAGUGAGGCAAUUACAGUUAAGAAGGAGGUGGAGACAGAGCACAGGUGCUUAAAACAAUGCAUAAAAGCAACAGGUCAAAUCAAGUAAUCCAACAAAUGUUUAACAUUUUAUCAAUAGGAAAUCUAAAAUAAGUGAAUGCUGCCAAAACUUCUGACUUACAAAUUAAAUUAUGUAAAACACAGUUUGAAGGCUCCUUUAUUAUUCUAAUCCUUUAAAUACUAGCAUCAACAGACACUAAUAUUAUUAUUCUGAAUCUGGAUUUGUGUCAGUCUGAAGUAUGGCCGAUAUGCUAAAUACGAGGAUAGGAAAAAUUAAAAAAGAGCAAUUCCAGGUGAAAACUACCUUCUUUUAUACCCCAAAUCGGUGAAGAAUGCCUGAUCAUAUCAGCAUAGGGAAAAACAGGGAGGUGUAGGAGAAAAGCCAAGCAAGCUUCCUCCAACCCGCAAAACCAAAAAAAUGCCCAGCAACUGAAAGCAUCUUGAAAACCACUUAGUCAUACAGAAAACAAAACCACUUAGUCAUACAUUUUAACAAAAGCAGGAGUAACUUUGACUCACAAUUGUCCUUAGUUAUGAACACACCUAAAACCUUGUCCACUGUGGCUUAAAGGGGAUCACCAGCAUCUCUACAGCACCAGAAUGCAGGUUCAAUCCCUGCCUAGCACAGUGGGUUAAAGGAUCCUGCGUUGUGCAGCUGCCUCAUAGUUUGCAACUGCAGCUGGGAUCUGAUCCCUUGCCCAGGAACUUCAUAUGCUUUGGCGGCCAAAAGAAUUAAAAAUAAAACCCAAAAAAUCACUUGUUUAGAAAGGUGCAGAUAUAGUGGGGGACGUCUUUAAAAAGAUCCCGGAGUUCCCGUCCAAAUGAAUCCUACUAGGAACCAUGAGGUUGUAGGUUUGAUUCCUGGCCUCGCCUCGCUCAGUAGGUUAAGGAUCUAGCAUUGCUAUGAGCUAUAGUGUAGGUUGCAGAUGAGGCUCCGAUUUGGCAUUGCAGUGGCUUAGGCAGGUAGGUGUAGCUCUGAUUCAACCCCUAGCCUGGGGACCUCCAUAUGCCAGGGGUGUGGCCCUAAAAAGCAAAAUAAAUAAAUAAAAAUAAAAAAUAAAAGAUCCAAUGUUGCUCACAUUAAGCUCUUGCUGUUUAACUGUACAGAUACAGCACAUUGUUACACAUACUUUAUUUGGAAUUCAGCACCAUGAAACUGAGCCAGGAGAUAGAAGGGCUCCAGGGUAGACAUUUGCUACUAGUCUCUUAUUUACCCCUCCCUUUUUUUUUUUUUUUUUUUUUUUUGGCUUUUUAGGGCUGCACCUGAGGCAUAUGGAGGUUCCCAGGCCAGGGGUGGAACUGGAGCUGUAGCUGCCGGCCUACACCAUAGCCACAGCAAUGCGGGAUCCAAACUGCAUAUGUGACCUACACCACAGCUCACGGCAACACCAGAUCCCUAACCCACUGAUGGAGGACAGGUAUUGAACUCGUGUCCUUAUGGAUACUAGUCAGAUUCGUUACUGCUAAGCCACAAUUGGAAUUCCGUACAUACUUCUUGAGGCAGGUGAUAGGUACAACUAGCCUCUUAUUUGCAUCUCCUGAGGCAGGAGAUAGGUGGGCUCCAGCACCAGCAUUUAUAGCCAGCCACCUAUCUACAUAUACUUCAAGACAGAAAUAACAAUAGGCACAAGGCAAAUAACUGGUACUUGUCUUCUGUGAACUUGUUAAGCAAACGGUAAUAACAGGAUCAAAAGAGGGGGCUGGGCCCUGCUUGGACAAAAGACCAAGAGGGCACAUACUCCCCAUCCUCAGAGUCAGGGAGACCCCUCUGGGUCAGAAAGGGAAAGGAGUACCAGGCUAUAAUUAGUUUAGAUAACCUCAUCAUGCCUUGCUUUGGAAUCCAUCUUUCCAAAAGAUGCACACCCAGAUCAGGGGAGGGCCCUGGGUCUGAUCAGGUGUGAAAGAUAAAAAAAGAUAAUUGGGCAAAGGCAGAACUGCCCCAUAUAAGUGGUUUAAAUCACCUCUCUGGCAAGCUCCUCAUUCAGGGACAGCCACACCCUCACUCUUUGGGUGUGUAUUAUAACUUUACCUCUGCCUGAGAUAAACAAAUUAAUUCUCAGAGUUUCUACUGUGGCACAGCAGAACGAAUCCUGACUAGUAUCCUUGAGGAUAUGGGUUGGAUUCAUGGCCUUGCUCAGUGGGUGGGGGAGCUGGUGUUGCCUUGAGCUGCAGUCUAGGUCACAGAUGAGGCUUGGAUCCUGCGUUUGUGGUGUAGUCUGGCACCUAUAGCUCUGAAUCAACCCCAGCCUGGGAACUUCCAUGUGCUGCCAGUGUGGCCUUAAAAAAAAAAAAAAAAAAAAAAAAAAAAUUCUGUGUGCUCUCCCACAUGUUGUACUGUUUCCAACAAUAAACUUUAUACCUUUAAAAUUUCUGCUUUCAACAAGGAGCAAGAAUCAGGGCAAUUCUGCUUUCAGCCUCUGCUAGUCUAGUGGCUGGGAUUCCCGGUUUUCAUCCAGGCUGCCCAGGUUCAAUUCCUGAGCGGAGAAUUAAAGAUUUUGCUCCAAGCCGUCACUCACUGCUGUCUCCAUGAGAUCAAAAGUACUUCUCUAAAAGAUCAAUACGAUAAUCUCUGAUCUAGGAACUCUGGCAUUGAAAGCCUGAAUAACACGAGGUAAUGCUGUCGUCACCCAGAGACAACAAGAAUAGAACCCAAAUCCCUGGACUCCCAGCUUGUGUUUUCCACUAAUUGCACUCCUUUCUACUCAUCCAAGACCGUCAAGUGUGAAAGGGUGGAGAAGGGAGUGAACACAGAUGCGCCAGGGCCUGGAGGUGGAGACCCAACUGAAGGCCCUCAGGAAUCCCUCUUGGGCACCUGCCUUUUGUUUCAGCUGAGGACGAUGAAAGCGGCAGCAACCACGAACCCCCGGGACCAAGAACUGGAACUAGGUACUGCCCAUGCUGCUAUCUCUUCCUCAUUUAAGCCUUUCCUCUUUCACCUCUCCCCUACGGCCAGCCCUAACAUGCUCUCCUCACCCUCAGCUCCACCAUGCACUUGAGUCCCCGCUUUCCUCUAACAAGAAGCGGCUGCAUGGCACCUGCUCUCCAGCUGGCCCUGCAUCCAGUCCUUAGGCGGGAUGUUCGGAGGGAUCCUAGCCCCACAAGCGUUCUGCCUAGAAAAUGAAUGCUCAUCAAGCGUUAGAAAUGGGUGGGAAUCAGGGCUGAUACUCAAGUCAGCUCUGCGUGGAUCUCUGCAGUUCUUCACGACAAAGCAAAAUGUAGACAGUAAGCAUAGAGCCUUUCUUGCUUUGCUGAGAGCCUCACACAGCUCCACCUUCCCCCGGGCAUCCUCCCACUGGAGAACGCCUUGCGCAGAGCUCGUGUUUACAGUUUUCCUGGCCGUGGGGGAGGAGACCUCCGCUCGCGGACUCAGGGGGAUUCCAAACCGUUACUCCGCCCGCCGGGGGGGGGCCAGCCUAACGGCCGAGCCUGCGCAGGGGGCACGGCCGGCUCCGGUGUCGCGGCGCANNNNNNNNNNNNNNNNNNNNNNNNNNGUGCGGCGCGGGCGCCCCCUUUCCCUGCCGCGAGCUUAGUUCUGUGGCUACUGCUGCUCCCCUCCUCCUAGGUUCCGGUCGGUCUCCAUUCCACAGUUAAAGGCUACUCCCUCUUGAAGCACAUGAGAGGAAGCUUUAGCAGUCUCGACAGUGAAGCCUUUCGCGUACUCCCUCUUUCUCUCUCGCUCUGCCUGAACUAUGCCUGACUCUCUCACCGGAGUCGGCUAGCCAAGGAGAGAGGAAGACGUCUUUAAGGGCCCCAGCCUGGGCGAGCUGGUCGCACU
rnacentral:tRNA from 1 species